AGGUCCCACCAUUGGAAUCUUGCUAACGACAGCUAGCUUCCGCGAAGUAAUACCUAAUGGUGGUCCCGCGGGGGAAAGUGGUAGAUGAAGCGUGUGGGGGGUAGUUUUUAGUACGUGAAAAUCGUGCAUACUACUACUAAGGAAGCAGUAGUAUCUUUUGAAGAUUUUCUACCUCCUGCUCGC
rfam:Glossina fuscipes fuscipes unplaced genomic scaffold Scaffold203, whole genome shotgun sequence.